UACGAAGGGGGCGAGCGUUGUUCGGAUUUACUGGGCGUAAAGGGCGCGCAGGCGGUUCUGUUUGUCGAGUGUGAAAUCCCCGGGCUCAACCUGGGAACUGCAUUUGUGACUGCAUCGCUGGAGUGCGGCAGAGGGGGAUGGAAUUCCGCGUGUAGCAGUGAAAUGCGUAGAUAUGCGGAGGAACACCGAUGGCGAAGGCAAUCCCCUGGGCCUGCACUGACGCUCAUGCACGAAAGCGUGGGAAGCAAACAGG
rnacentral:rRNA from 1 species